GAUCAGUUUGAAUAUCCAGCAGAGGAACCACGUGUGAUAUUCACAGACAUCUUAAUUAUUUUAAUCAGCCUUGUAUUGAUCAAUUCAUAGUAUACUGAUUAUACAAUUUUCCUGUUUAUAAUCAUGCAUUUGGCAGACUUUUACAUUUCAUAUUGGAGUUGAUAGAUUUUGUGAGCAUAAAUUGUAAUUAUUAAAGUAUUAAAAGUUUUACUUUUUAAAAACUUUAUUUUGUUUUUUCAUUCGUGUAUUUUUGGUUGACAACUUUACUCAGAUUAUACAUUUGUAAGUGUAAAGUUGUCUAAGUAAUAAAUAAACGAAAAACAUCAACUUCUCCCUUCAGCAUAUUCACCUCUCUCACAUACAUGUACUCCACUGACCCCACACAAAACACAUAUAAUAUAUUUAAUGAUAUACACUGAGAACUCUUGCACAAUAACUUGUUUGAACAACCACACAAUUCACUAUGUCUUACUAUGUCUCUGUUCGUGGCAAAUCUUUGUAUCCUUCUAUAUUAAUACACAUAAUAUUUAUCAUGUUUUACAGUAUCCUACACAUCUGCAGUCCAAACCUGAUCCAGAACAGUUCUGCCGUGAUGGGGGGUUUGAAUAUUCUCUCUUACACUUCACCUAGAGAACCACAUAAGUCAUACAGUGGAGCAUGGAGGUAUAGUGAGAGCAUGUCUUUAGAUAGAUAUUGAUUGGUUUUUUGUGUUUUUAAAUCAUAUAUGCAUGUAUAUGUAUGUUGUCUAAUCUAAAUAUGUAUGUGAAUCUCAAAGAACAACAAGAUGAACUGUAGUUUCUUGGGAACCACUAAAGUGAUGAGAAUAUUGUUGUUAUUUAUCUAUGUGUGUUUUGUAACUUGCUGUGUACACUACACUUUUGUUAAUUUUUUUUUUCUACAAUCCUACAGGUUACUUCAUCUUAAAAUGAAUGAAUGAAGGUACAAGAAUGCAAUCAUCAGUCUUUUUUUUCAGUCCUUGUUCUGUAGUUUUAUGUAUAAAACAAAAAAAACGAAUUAUAUAUUUAAAUAUUUGAUAGAAUAUUCCACCCCAGAGAGAGGGACUGGAUUGUGGUCUGUUCAUGCUGAUGGUAAGCUGUGAACUACAGAUUCUGAGCAGUUAUGGUGAUGGCAAAGGUUUAGUUUAGUUUACAUGCAGUAUUUAGAUGAAUACGGUCUAGUGUUAUCUGUAUGGUACAGUAAAUUGGUGUCAGUAAAUUUCAAUAUUUGAAUUUUCUCAAUGGUAUUUGCUGUCUGUUUCAGUAUGCACUCUAUAUAGCCCUGGACUGGACAUUUGACUUUAGCCAGGAUGACAUCCCUCAGCUCUGAAGGUGGUUUGCUCUUCAUGUCACAUCCAAGGUUGUCAGAGUCCACCAUCACCAAACAGCCAGCAAGUACGGAAACUGUGAUGGGUCAAGACGACAGUGAUAAGAAGAUCGAAGAGGAAGUUCGGAGAGGAACAUAAGGGACAUUGGUGUAGCAAGGUGCUGGGUUCAGAGCCACUGUGAGCUGUUCCAUGGAGAGGUGAAAGAGCCUGAAUUUCUCCAGAUUGACGAAGAAAAACAGUCUAAUAUAAUCAAAGACUACCUGAAAGGAGAGACUGAGAAAGCAAGGGAUGCCUGUGUGUUUGUCUUUGACAAUCGCGAGGAUAUGGAAACAUUCUUAUUAAAAUGUGUUGAACAGGGGCUGAAAUUCAAUACCAUGUUUCUGGGAGUUAUUUAAUUUAUAAUAAUUUAUUUACUCUACAUUGUUGAAUAUUAUUGUUUUGUGAAAUAAAUAUAACAAUACCCAGUGAAACAAGGGAUGUCUUUUUAUUGAUCUUUAUGCAUCCGUAGGACUUGGACACAUUUUUAUAUAUAUUUGUGUUGAUGGAAAAAGGCCCAAAAGUCAAUGCCAUGUUACUUACAUAAUCUAUCAAAGCAACCAAUGACUUAAGCCUAUGUAUGUGUAGCUUAGUCUAUAUAGAGAACAGUCAAUCCUAUCAUGCAAAUGUAGUUGCUCUUUUUUGCGAGGUGAUAAACUUUUUUUUCCAUGCACAUAUAAAAAAUAGUGUGUAGAUAAUAAUUGUUCUUGUAUAUAAUUAAAAGGAAAAUAAAAAUAUUUAAAACAAAAUUAUAUAAGUAUAUGAAUUUGCCAAAGUCAGGAACAUUUUUUUUAUUUAAAAUGAAAUAAAUAUGAAAAAUAAACACAUUUUAAAAAAUAAAUAAAGAGGGGAGGAUCCCAGUUAUUGCAUAACACCCAUAUUCAUCCUUAAAAUAGUGAUAUGAUCACUAACGUUCCCACCUUAUAAGUGAAACAUAUUUUUAGAGAAUUAGAUAAAUAAAAACGCCUUAAA